rnacentral:lncRNA from 1 species
AGAUCUAAAUCUAAAUAUAUUUUAGAUUAUAUAAUAUAUAUAUAUAUAUAAAUGUCAAAUAUUAUACUUAAAUUUAUAAAUUUUAAAUUUUAAUAUAAUAUAUUUUAAAAUAUAGUAAACAGAAAUAAUUGUUUCAGAUUUGUUCGGAUUUCAGGUUUAUAAUCUGAUUCGAUUUCGGAUAUGAAUUUUUAAAAUCUAUUGGGUUUAGAUUCGGAUUCGGUUUUGAUUUUCGAAUUUAGUUGUCGGAUUCGAGUUCAUAUUUCUAAAAAGUCAUACCAAAUCCGACCUAUUGACAGCCCUAUCAUUGGUCCCCAUAAUGUCCAGUUCCAUAGAGUCUGGCUACUAUGCUAUCAACAGCGCGAAGCACUCAGUGCUACCAAGUUUUCCGCCGUUAGAUCCACCCCUUUGAUCAUUUUCAGCCGUUAGAUCAUACUAUUCAACCAACCAUCUAAUCAAUCCUAGGAGACCCACAUCAUCCUAACCGCACAUCUCUCAAUCGAAUGGCCGAAAAUUUGGUAGCACCAAUGAUUUGGUGCUAUUAAUAGCAUAGUAGCCUAGUUCAGUUCCAUAUUACAAUUACCUAUAUUUUUGGGAUGCAAUUUGUACCGUAAUUCACCACUAAU